rnacentral:rRNA from 1 species
AGAGUUUGAUCCUGGCUCAGAUUGAACGCUGGCGGCAGGCUAACACAUGCAAGUCGAGCGGAUGAGUGGAGCUUGCUCCAUGAUUCAGCGGCGGACGGGUGAGUAAUGCCUAGGAAUCUGCCUGGUAGUGGGGGACAACGUUUCGAAAGGAACGCUAAUACCGCAUACGUCUACGGGAGAAAGCAGGGGACUUUCGGGCCUUGCGCUAUCAGAUGAGCCUAGGUCGGAUUAGCUAGUUGGUGAGGUAACGGCUCACCAAGGCGACGAUCCGUAACUGGUCUGAGAGGAUGAUCAGUCACACUGGAACUGAGACACGGUCCAGACUCCUACGGGAGGCAGCAGUGGGGAAUAUUGGACAAUGGGCGAAAGCCUGAUCCAGCCAUGCCGCGUGUGUGAAGAAGGUCUUCGGAUUGUAAAGCACUUUAAGUUGGGAGGAAGGGCAGUAAGUUAAUACCUUGCUGUUUUGACGUUACCGACAGAAUAAGCACCGGCUAACUUCGUGCCAGCAGCCGCGGUAAUACGAAGGGUGCAAGCGUUAAUCGGAAUUACUGGGCGUAAAGCGCGCGUAGGUGGUUCAGCAAGUUGGAUGUGAAAGCCCCGGGCUCAACCUGGGAACUGCAUCCAAAACUACUGAGCUAGAGUACGGUAGAGGGUGGUGGAAUUUCCUGUGUAGCGGUGAAAUGCGUAGAUAUAGGAAGGA